CUGAGAAAGAUGCCUGUCUUAGGGUUUCUGUUGCUGUGAAGAGACAUCAUGACCACAACAAUUCUUAUAAAGGAAAACAUUAAUUGUGGUGGCUUGAUUACAGUUCAGAUGUUUAGUCCAUUAUUAUCAAGGCAGCAUGCAGGCAGACAUGGUGCUAGAGAGGUAGCUGAGAGUUCUUACACACAGGCAAUAGGAAGUGGUCUGAGACACUGGGCAGUAUCUUGAGCAUGUAUGAGACCUCAAAGCCUGCCUUCACAGUGAUACACUUCCUUCAACAAGACCACACCUUCUCCAGCAAGGCCAGGUGUGUAUGAAUGUGUGUGUGCUUGCAUGCACAUGGUCACAUGUGUGUGAGCUGCCCGCUACCACAUACCUGUCUAGGCUGUGUGUGAGUGCUGCCCACCAUCACAUGCCUAUGCUAGGCCGCUGUUUUCUCCUGACAUUAGACCACACCAUCACCUGCCUACCUGCAGUCCCCUGGGAUCUCAUUUGCUGUCUCUACAGCCACACAGUGCCUUCCUCCUUCCUUGACAUCUUCAGUUUUAGGCUGGGAAGGGAGCCAGCAGCCUGUGCUAUCCCUCUGUCUGUUCCUGCUAGGGAAUAGUCAUAAAAUAACAUUGUCAGAGUUUCUCUUUAAACUUUUAUUCUUAAGACAAGUUAUUAAUUCAGGUGAAGCUUCCUGCAUCGAUUGUGCUUCAAGCCACUCAAAAUCCUAAUGUGCUUGUUGGCAGUCAACCCUGUUUUAUUCACUAAGGAAUGGGCAGGACCACUCAGUUUAUUUGCUCAUUCAGCAAAUAUUUAUUGAGUGCCUACUGAAUGUCCAGUACUGUUUCGUUGUCUGGGAUAUGUCAGCAAACCCCAAAUUCAAAGUCUCCUGGUCUUGUGGAGCUUAAAAUAAACCGUGACUUAAUACACAAAUAAACUGAAGCCGAAUGAUACACUACCUGCUGCGUUUGAAAAGGAGGUGAAAAAGAAGGUGACUCGGGGGCAGUAGGAGGUCAGCGUUUACUUUCACACUUGAUCUUAGCCAGAAGGCCAAGAAGGGUCAGUGUUGCUCUUGGUGAGGGUGACCCUCAAGCUCAGCAUAGACGGCUCUUAGGUCCUAGGUUCCAGAAAGUAAGAAACGAAGGAAGAAGGAGGGAAUGGAAGAAGAGAGGGAGGGAGGGAAGAGAAGGGAAAGGGAGGGAGGGGAGGAGGAGGAAGGGCAGGAGGGAAGAAAGAAGGGAGGGAGGGAGAGGGAGAGGGAGGGAGGGAGAGGAGAGGGAGAGAGGGAGGGAGGGAUACUAACCUGGACUUACUAUUGAGAUUCACUUCAACCUCAGAAUUAAAACUUGUCCUCCGUAUCUGGGGUUUUGUGGAUUGGUUUCAGGAUUUAAAAAAAGAAAAUCCACAGAUGUUCUAAUCUCACUUAUAAAAUGGCAUAGUAUCGCAAGCCCACUCCAUUGCCUGUACACU
rnacentral:lncRNA from 1 species